rnacentral:lncRNA from 1 species
AAAGGCAAGGGGCUAUGGGAAAGGCCAUAGUGGUGGCUGUCCCAUAUGACUCCAGACAAGAGAACCUUGGUUCCCUGUGGUGUCAGCAGGCACAGAAGGACAGCUCUCAGGCUCCUGCUUAGGAGGUGCAGGGAGGUGCCUGGGUCCGUGCAUGAACUGCACUGCGCCAGGCUCCUCAGGAGGGGUGUCUUGCUUUUCCUGAGAGCUGGUGGCUUAUCACACCCGUGCCAGCCACCAAAUCCUACUCGCCCGACCACCUGUAGACUCAGCCUCCCAAGCCUGUCUUUUGUACUUGGUUAUAGUCCAUCCCUGAAGAAGACGAAAACACCACCAGUAUCCAAGACAGACAAACCAGGUAAGAGUCCUCAAAAGGGUUCGCUGAAGCCAGCUCCGGCUGGAUUCCUGCCCAAGUCGGUUGGCUCACUUCUGCAUGCAGCAAACGUGUAUUGAAGACUUACUGUGUAUCAAGUUGGGGGAGGGGGGGGGAGUCGUGAG